UACGGAGGGGACUAGCGUUGUUCGGAAUUACUGGGCGUAAAGCGCGCGUAGGCGGAUUAUUAAGUCAGGGGUGAAAUCCUGGGGCCCAACCUCAGAACUGCCUUUGAUACUGAUAAUCUAGAGUUCGGAAGAGGUGAGUGGAAUUCCUAGUGUAGAGGUGAAAUUCGUAGAUAUUAGGAAGAACACCGGUGGCGAAGGCGGCUCACUGGUCCGAAACUGACGCUGAGGUGCGAAAGCGUGGGGAGCAAACAGG
rnacentral:rRNA from 1 species